AUUGAACGCUGGCGGCAGGCCUAACACAUGCAAGUCGAGCGGUAGGGAGAAGCUUGCUUCUCUUGAGAGCGGCGGACGGGUGAGUAAUGCCUAGGAAUCUGCCUGGUAGUGGGGGAUAACGUUCGGAAACGGACGCUAAUACCGCAUACGUCCUACGGGAGAAAGCAGGGGACCUUCGGGCCUUGCGCUAUCAGAUGAGCCUAGGUCGGAUUAGCUAGUUGGUGGGGUAAUGGCUCACCAAGGCGACGAUCCGUAACUGGUCUGAGAGGAUGAUCAGUCACACUGGAACUGAGACACGGUCCAGACUCCUACGGGAGGCAGCAGUGGGGAAUAUUGGACAAUGGGCGAAAGCCUGAUCCAGCCAUGCCGCGUGUGUGAAGAAGGUCUUCGGAUUGUAAAGCACUUUAAGUUGGGAGGAAGGGCAGUAAAUUAAUACUUUGCUGUUUUGACGUUACCGACAGAAUAAGCACCGGCUAACUCUGUG
rnacentral:rRNA from 1 species